rnacentral:rRNA from 1 species
AUCAGGCCUAACACAUGCAAGUAGAGCGNGANANCCCUUNGGNCAGAGUAGAGCGGCGNCGGGUGAGUAACGCGUGGGAAUCUGCCCAGUAGAGGGGGGCAGCAACCGGAAAGGGUAGGUAAUCCCGCAUAAGCCAUACGGGGCAAAGCAGGGGAUUUUUAGACCUUACGCUAUUGGAAGAGAACCGGUCAGAUUAGNUAGGAACAGCCCUAAUAGCAUUACAAAGCGACGAUNUAUGGCUCACCAGANGAUGAUCAGCCACCUUGUAUGAGAGGCUGAUCCCNCACUCNUACGGGAGGCAGCAGUGGGGANUANUGCGCAAGGGGGCAAANCCUGAUGCUCCCCUNCCGCGUGUGUGAAGAAGGCUCUCGGGUUGUAAAGCAAUUUAAGCCNUGAGGAAGGAAANAUGNUUANUAAGANAUUGAC